GAUGAACGCUAGCGGCAGGCCUAACACAUGCAAGUCGUGGGGUAACAGGGUAGCAAUAUCGCUGACGACCGGCGCACGGGUGAGUAAGGCAUAUGCAACCCUCCUCUGACUGGGGGAUAGCUUCCGGAAACGGAAAUUAAUACCGCAUAACAUUCCGACAGGGCAUCCUGAUGGAAUUAAAGCUCCGGCGGUCAGAGAUGGGCAUAUGUGCCAUUAGCUAGUUGGUGAGGUAAUAGCUCACCAAGGCUACGAUGGCUAGGGGGUCUGAGAGGAUGAUCCCCCACACUGGUACUGAGACACGGACCAGACUCCUACGGGAGGCAGCAGUGAGGGAUAUUGGGCAAUGGGCGCAAGCCUGACCCAGCCAUGCCGCGUGAAGGAUGAAUGCCCUAUGGGUUGUAAACUUCUUUUGUACGGGACGAAUCUUCCGGACGUGUCCGGGACUGACAGUACC
rnacentral:rRNA from 1 species